CUUUUCACUUUUCAGAUCUCUCUCUCUCUUUCUACCUUAGACCCAAAGCGAAGACCUUUCUCUGGCUUCAACAACUUGGGGCUUUAUCAUUUCCACAAGAGCUCAGGGUGCCCUUUUUAAUCUCAUCUCCGAUCUCAAUUUCACCGUCUUCAUUUUCUCCUUUUAUCGUAUCGAUCCUCGGGACAUGUCAGAUUCGACUGCAUUUAGG
rnacentral:misc_RNA from 1 species